AGCUCUGAGGUGUAGUACACAUUAGAUUGCAAAUCUGAAGAAGCAGAUGAACACCUGCCAGAGCUU
rnacentral:tRNA from 1 species